AGUGAACGCUGGCGGCAGGCCUAACACAUGCAAGUCGAGCGGCAGCGGGUUCCCGCGAGGGGAUGCCGGCGAGCGGCGGACGGGUGAGGAACACAUCGGAAUCUGCCUGGUUGUGGGGGAUAACGUAGGGAACUUACGCUAAUACCGCAUGAGACCCUGAGUCGACGGACUGGGGUGAAAGUGAGGGACCUUCGGCCGUCACGCGACCAGAUGAGCCGAUGUC
rnacentral:rRNA from 1 species